rnacentral:lncRNA from 1 species
AUUCAAAACAUCUGGGGCUGCACGGUGGCUCAUGCCUGUAAUCCCAGCAGUUUGGGAGGUCAACAUGGGUGAAUCACUUGAGGUCAGAAGUUUGGGACCAGCCCAGCCAAUGUGGCCCUGAUCAGGAAGUGAAGACAACAUGACUGUGGAGAAGAGAGCCGGGAAGGGAAGAAGCUCAAUAAUGAGUGCAUUCUAGGCCAGCUUCCCCAAUGCAAAGGAUCCAGUGGAGGUCUCUGAGGCCCUGGGAGAUGGUAGAGCCACACCAUGAAGGUGCCUGGGUCCCUGAAUGACUGCAUGGAGCUCACUCUACAUUGGACUGUGACACAAGCAAGAAAGGUAGACACUUAGGAGUGGAAUUGCUGAGUCAUACAGUAAUUCUAUGUUUAACAUUUUGAGGAGCUGCCAAACUGUUUCCAAAAUGGCUGCAACAUUCUAUAUUUCCAUCAGCAAGAAGGGCCCAUGUGGCAAGGAACUAAGGGCAGUCUCUGGCCAAAAGCCCACAAGUAACUGAAUUCUGCCAAUAACCAUGAGUUUGGAAGUGGAUCCUUCCCCAUUCGAGUCUCAGAUGAGUCCCCAGCCCUGGCCAACAUCUUCAUGUGCUGUGAGAGACCAUUAAGCAGAGGACCCAGCUAAGCUCUGCCCAGAUGCUCAAUCCACAGAAAAAGAUACUAAGUGUGUGUUGUUUUAAGCUGCUACAUUUGCAGUGGUUUGAUAUGCAGCAAUAGAUAACUGAUACUGCUGUUAAUUGCUUUCUAUUACAAUCAGCUGGAAUAACUGCCCUUGUGCCUACAAUCAGAGAUGUAUUUUGGGAUCAAUUCCCAGACCUGAGAUUGUUCAGUCUAAGGGUAAGGAUAUUUAAUGUGGAAAAAUAACACUAAAUUGUCCUCCAAAAAUAUUAUCAAGUGACAAUCAUGCAAACAGUAUGAAAGUUCCUACUUCUCUCCAUGUUCUUGCCAAAUGAAGUGUCAUUGAUCAUUGAAAAAAUAUCAGUUUGAGAAAAAUCAGUACUGCAUUGCUUUGAUUGCAUUUUCCUGAUCACUUAUCAGGGUGAGCAUCUUUUUAACGAAUCCCUUGGCCAUUUAUUUUCCUCUUUCUUUUGAGACUUCUCUCUUGAUAUUUUUAGCUUUUAUCCUAUUUUAAUUGGAUUUCAAUUGGAUUGAACAACUAGAAUGAUAGAAUGAUAUCUGGGGGGCACACAAUGGCCAUUGGUGAUGCUGCUGUUGAUUACCCAAAGUGCUAUCCCAUUUCUUCCUGUGUAUUUACUACUAUUUCUCUUGCAGUUAAUAAGCAAUUUAUGGGAAGAUUCUUUGAGACCAUUCAAAUAUCCUGCACCUCAUUAAAAUAUCCCCCUGGAUUUAGCAGCCUUUGAUGAUUCUUGCCUGAACAAAACUUUAUUAUGGUAGAUGUAAAAUGAAGAUUUUCAUUUCUAGCACUUCUUCCACAUUUACCAGCUACAUUCAGCCUUCUUGUGGAUAAGACUCUCCCCUUUCUCCCAAAUGUUUAUUGUUUUUAUUAGUAUGGACUCACGAUUUCCUGUUCUUCUCAAUGGCCUAUAAUUUAUUACUAUCUUUAAUUAUAUUAGUGCUCAAAUUUUCCCAGUUUGGCCAGUGGGAUCCCCUCCAAGUUGGCUAUUAUUUCCUUGUGACAUACCCACUUUUUCUUUCUUUCUCUUUCUUUUUCUUUCCUUUUAAAACUCACUUCUUUACUUCCUGCUCCAGCCCUGGAAUCAGCCAUUUCUCUGAAAAACUGUGGUUCUUUCAAGUGGACAAAGGUAUUAGAGACCAAAAUUUGGGCACAAGAUAUGCACUUUAACAAGGACCCACUUUAAGUGCAGUUUAGUGAAUUUGAAUGAAUGCAUGAACUUCUGUAACUACUACCACAAUCAAGAUAUAGAGUUUCUGUCACCUCUCAAAGCCUCCUUUUCUUGCUUGCUCAUAUGCAAUUACCUCUGUCCAAAAUGACCCUUUCCCUUUCCUCUACACACUUGGCAAAGCCAUGAUUGAACAUUUAUUCCUUCUUAGAUUUUGUUCCAUUUUCCUCAGCAAAGGUUCUUUGUUUCCUCUUCUUCAUGCUCACAAAAGAGAGAGUAAAAGUGCUUGCUCAACAGUUCUUCAACUGCUCUAAUAAAGAUUGAUUCUCUUACCA